rnacentral:rRNA from 1 species
CAUUACCGAGUUUACAACUCCCAAACCCCUGUGAACAUACCUUAAUGUUGCCUCNGNGGAUCAGCCCGCGCCCCGUAAAACGGGACGGCCCGCCAGAGGACCCAAACUCUAAUGUUUCUUAUUGUAACUUCUGAGUAAAACAAACAAAUAAAUCAAAACUUUCAACAACGGAUCUCUUGGUUCUGGCAUCGAUGAAGAACGCAGCAAAAUGCGAUAAGUAAUGUGAAUUGCAGAAUUCAGUGAAUCAUCGAAUCUUUGAACGCACAUUGCGCCCGCUGGUAUUCCGGCGGGCAUGCCUGUUCGAGCGUCAUUUCAACCCUCAAGCCCCCGGGUUUGGUGUUGGGGAUCGGCUCUGCCCUUCUGGGCGGUGCCGCCCCCGAAAUACAUUGGCGGUCUCGCUGCAGCCUCCAUUGCGUAGUAGCUAACACCUCGCAACUGGAACGCGGCGCGGCCAUGCCGUAAAACCCCAACUUCUGAAUGUUGACCUCGGAUCAGGUAGGAAUACCCGCUGAACUUAAGCAUAUCAA